rnacentral:rRNA from 1 species
UACAGAGGGGGCAAGCGUUGUUCGGAAUUACUGGGCGUAAAGGGUGCGUAGGCGGCGCGGUAAGUCGGGUGUGAAAUUUCGAGGCUUAACUUCGAAACUGCAUUCGAUACUGCCGUGCUAGAGGACUGGAGAGGAGACUGGAAUUUACGGUGUAGCGGUGAAAUGCGUAGAUAUCGUAAGGAAGACCAGUGGCGAAGGCGGGUCUCUGGACAGUUCCUGACGCUGAGGCACGAAGGCCAGGGGAGCAAACGGG